UAGNAUAANUAUACNGAGCGNGGNUCAUCUAUAUAUCUUAUCGUUUAUUUGAUAUCACCUUACCACACUUGGAUAACCGGGAUAUUUCUAGAGCUAAUACGCGCAAAAUCCCCCCACCGGAGAGGGNGUAUUUAUUUUAUUUAAAACCAAAGCCCUUCCGGGCUCCUCGUGGGAUUAUUGAUAAUUUUUCAAACCCCAGGGCNUUUGCCCGCGAAGGGUUCAUUCAAUUUUCUCCCCAUCUACUUUCCAAUCCCGGCAAUGNUCUNCCAUGGNAGCACCGGCGGAGGGGAAUAAGGUCUCAACGGGNANCGGGGGGUUANACNAGAUAUGGGUCNUAGACGAUUCAUUCGAAUUUCUGCCCCAUCAACUCUCGAUGGUAGGAUAGAGGCCUACCAUGGUCGCAACGGGUAACGGGGAAU
rnacentral:rRNA from 1 species